UUAUUUUAUUUAUUAUUAUUUUUAUUAUUAAUAAUUAUUAUUACUUUCCACAGUGCAGUAGUGGCUAUUUCAUUGUUACUGUUAACACAUGUUUUGUCAUUGAAUUCUAUUGGGUUAAUAUACCAACUAUUCACUUCCAACUAGUUACAUUCUGUUUUAAUAAUUUUGUUUUUUAUUGUACUUUAUCUAUACAGUAGCCAUUCUGACUAGUCUUUACAUCUAAUGAUCUAAUAUAUCUAAUGAUGUAGUGUAAGAAAUAUUACAUAGGCCUACUGUUGGAAUAUAUAUGUGUGCCCUUAUAAAUAAGUACUAGUAUCGAACAAAGAUGUACUAAACUGGAAUAAAUACCAGCAACAAUUAGAAAUAUAUCACUGGAAGUGAACAGUUAAGUUUGGUACCACAAAUCCACAUAAAAUUCAAUGACAAAAAUAUCUUCCAGAAACACUCAAGUUACUUGUAACUUCUGGAAUGGUGACAGGUAGUGAAAGUAAGGACUAGCAUCCAGUGAACAGUUUACAAGUAAAAUUGAAAAAACGCCAGUCACUACUGAAUGACUUACUCUAAAUAGCCUAUAGCUCAUGGGAAAAUGUUAAAACGGCUUGCCACAAAGUCAAUAUUUCGUCAAUGACAAGUUUAUAGCUAUUCUAUUCAAAUGCACUCAUUGCAUCGCACAGUCUACUUUGACAUGACAUUGCUGCAAACUCUGCCCAGUUUAAGGAGUUUUUACCAGAAUUAGAGGUAGCCCAUUUAAAGGCAUUGUGUAUUUUCUUCCAUUAUGGACAAGUGUCGCUCAGAUAACAUAUCACUUGUUGGAAUACGUGUCUUAAAUGACUAAUUUUGUGUGCUUCUAUUGUGUAUCGUCGUCUCGUCAAGAGCCCGUUCCAUAUCAACAACCAGUGAAAUAUGCAUAAGAUGCUAUGUGUGAACCUUUUCUCCGUUUGUGCUACUAUUCGUGCAGAGUUCAAAAGAUCUAAAAUUGUUCUGAUUCGAGCACAAAUUCAGAGACUUGCUAAUGUGUACCGAUCACUGAAGACAAAAGGGAGGGGAAAGAUCAGAGACUGAAAGCGCUGUCGACUGGAUACUUCUAAUCACGUUGGAGUUCUGCAGUCUCCAUAGCAACGGUAAGUUCCUCGGUAACCCGCUAUUGUUGCCAUGGCUUUUUUUUUUUUUUUUCUUCAGUAAUCUGCCAGAAUGUUUUGAAGUCUGGCUGAAGAUUCGCGGUGUUGCUGGAUUUUGUAAACUGGUGAAAAUGGAUUCACUCAUCUAACCAGAGGGCCAUAACAACAAAUAAAUUGUUCUGGACCACCGUUAAAAGACCCCAACUAUUAAGCCACACUCUGGGAUAAAGUGCAAUACCUGUGAAAGUUUCGUCACUGAACACUACGCUGUCCAGCAGGCACAGACUGGAGUGUAUAAUGAUGGGUGUGAUACACUGGUCAUUCACAAGGGGCUGCUGUAUCCUCGCCAAACGCUCGCAGAAGCCCGCCAGCUCCAUUCUCCCGCAGGAUGGACCUCCCGCCUCGUCUUAAGAAAGAGCAGUGAGGAAGGAGACAGAAGUGGACGAAGCUUUAUAGGAGUUUAUUCUCCGGAGGCCGGAUUGCCUGUGUGGACCCCAGCUUGCCAAACAUAGGGGCGCGUGGACUGUUCCCUGCUCCUCCACACUUCUGGGAGGAGGUGCCUUCAAAAAACAUCCCCCUCGUCCAGCCUCCGGGCCCUGAUUUCCCCCUGGCUAGACAGCCCCAGCGCACCACUUGCCUUUUCUGUGUCAGUAUUCUGUCUCUUUACCGAAAGAAGAUGGACUCCUGUGUUGAUGUGCUGUUUCUGCUGCUAAAUUCUAGGGAAUGGAAGCCCUGCCUCCUGCUGAUGACGCUUGAGCGGAUAGUUUCUAUGGCUGUCAUGUUGUGGCCACAGAUGGGUUGAAUUGUCACCAUUUCAGAGAGGGAGUUGAAGGAAACGCUGUCGCACUGUGACCAGAUGGAGUCCUUCUAUCGCUCGUUUGAGUAGAUGCCACACUGGAGGGAUUGUUCCAGGAUCCUGCCGAGAUACUGUCUGCCAGAGAGAGAACCGCUUAUACUGGAGCUGAAGGGGUUUUCCUUUGUCCUCCAGGCCUGGCUCUACCUUUUUUCCAUUGCAUGGUCCAGCACACAGAAAUCCCCAGAGGCAUUUCCAAAAGGAUAUAGUCUCAUGGCUCAUAUCCCAGAGUUCACUGGGAAGACAUGUGGUGUUUUGUGAAAGCUUCACGCACAGACACUAAACAAACAGGUCCUGAUGAAAUGGAUCUUCAAAAGGCUAUACUAUUAAACUGGACUGUUUUUAAAUGAACGCUAUUGUUUUCUUGGCGCUUACGAAUUUGAAUAUAAAUUAAUUUAAUAUUUCGUGCGCGUGUGUAUGUUGUGUGUUACAAACAUGAAUGCUUUCUCAAAUCAAGCAGCUUUUUUUUUUAAAUCAAGAAAAGUUUUUAAUUGAUUACACUUUGG